AUUGAACGCUGGCGGCAGGCCUAACACAUGCAAGUCGAGCGGAUGAAGGGAGCUUGCUCCUGGCUUCAGCGGCGGACGGGUGAGUAAUGCCUAUGAAUCUGCCUGGUAGUGGGGGAUAACGUCCGGAAACGGGCGCUAAUACCGCAUACGUCCUGAGGGAGAAAGUGGGGGAUCUUCGGAUCUCACGCUAUCAGAUGAGCCUAGGUCGGAUUAGCUAGUUGGUGGGGUAAAGGCCUACCAAGGCGACGAUCCGUAACUGGUCUGAGAGGAUGAUCAGUCACACUGGAACUGAGACACGGUCCAGACUCCUACGGGAGGCAGCAGUGGGGAAUAGUGGACAAUGGGCGAAAGCCUGAUCCAGCCACGCCGCGUGUGUGAAGAAGGUCUGCGGAUUGUAAAGCACUUUAAGUUGUGAGGAAGGGCAGUAAGUGAAUACCUGGCUGUUGUGACGGUACCAACAGAAGAAGCACCGGCUAACUUCGUG
rnacentral:rRNA from 1 species